rnacentral:rRNA from 1 species
GGCCGCAGUAUUCUAACUGUGCAAAGGUAGCAUAAUCAUUAGUCUUUUAAUUGAAGGCUUGUAUGAAUGGUUGGACGAGACAUAAGCUGUUUCAUGAAAAUUUUUUAUAGAAUUUUAUUAUUUAGUUAAAAAGCUGAAAUGUUUUUGAAAGACGAGAAGACCCUAUAGAUCUUUAUAAUUAUCAGAUAAUGUUUAUAAAGAUUCUUUUAUGUAUUAUCUGGUAUAUUAUUUUGUUGGGGUGACAUUAAGAUUUACAUAACUCUUAAAUAUUUGUUUUACAUUUAUUUAUGGUAUUUUGAUCCACUAUUAGUGAUUAAUAAAUUAAGUUACCUUAGGGAUAACAGCGUAAUUUUUUUAGAGAGUUCAUAUCGAUAAAAAGGAUUGCGACCUCGAUGUUGGAUUAA